GAAAAACAUGCUUAUUCUUCAAUCAGACACAUGAACAUGUUUCAAAUUAUCUUACAGCUGCUUGUGGGGCUUUAAAUGUCACUAAACACAAUUAAACACUGGAAAAUAUCAUCAUUUACUUCUAAAGUCUCCUCAUACUGUACUGAUGACUCUACACCAAAUCUGGCCAAUCACAUGCUCUCCACAGAAAGUCCCUCCCCCAACAAACACGCGACAGAGCAGCAGCACAACAAACACACUUUCUGGACUCUCUACUGGAAAUAUGAGCUCAUAAAUACCUUUCCUGGAGCUGUGAAUCCGCCUGGAUGUGGAGGAGCGUGUGGAGGAGCGUCAGCUGUUGAGCGCAGCUCAAAGAUCUGCAGCAGAAACACAACAGACACACGUGUGUAUCUUCACUGCUGCAGAGGAGAGAGAGAGAGAGAGCAAUGACUGAACACAAACACUACAACAACAUCACUACAAACUAAACCAACGAAGCAAAGUCCCUUACAGGAUCAGUGAAGUGUUGUGGACUGUAAGCCUGUUGAACAGAAGCAGAGACGAGUGGACAGACACUGACUGUACUGAUGAUGAUCAUCUGCUGCUGCACAGGCUGUAAAGUAUAACCCCUGCUGGACACGGCUCCGGAAGCUCCAGGGGGAGACCGAACUGGUAUCCCCCCUUCUUCAGGCGCGCCUCACACUCACUCACCAUUCACUCAUAUCGCAGAGUUCUGGCUGGCCUUGAACCAGCAACCCCUGAAGCCGUGGGGCAGCGCUCUUACCACAGAGCCACAGAUCUCCAUGUCUGAACACUUGCUGGAACUGAUGUUGGACUGCUGACCUGUGUGUGAGCUGAUUCAAUAAAACAAUAUAUAUGUCAGAUCUG